GUAUGACCAUGCUUUUGUUUUCUCGACUCUGAUUUUUGCCUUGCCUACUCUGUGGAUUAUUGUGUAUUACCUGGACUGUGUAUUGUCUCUGAUUGUGGAUCUUCUCUGACACUGUCUGCCUCGUGUAUGACCAUUGGACUGCCUCACUAUCCGGUAAUGGUCUCUCCCUCCUGGUUUCUGUUUAACAGUGUUCACUACCUGCUGCUACUGUUUUAUUUUGUACCUUGUGGGUUUUUAAUAAAAUCCUUAACUGGUUCCGCGAGUGUCUGUAUUCUGUAUCCCAUCAUGACAGACCAAUAGAAUUUCUUCAAAAUGGCCUAAAAUAAAAACUUUUUACAUUUACUUCCAUUGAAAGUUAAGAGGGUUUUAUCUGUCUCCUGUAAAGUUGCUUCAUAUUCAGCUCUGGAAACAAUAAGAAACUCAAUGCCGAUGUUUUUCCUUGAUUUUACCAAACUGAAAACCUCUGGAAUAUAAUCAAGAGGAAAAUGGAUGAUCACAAGCCAUCAAACCAAGCUGAACUGCUUGAUUUUUUAUACCAGGAGUGGCGUAAAGUUAUCCAAAAGCAGUGUGUAAGACUGGUGGAGGAGAACAUGCCAAGAUGCAUGAAAACUGUGAUUAUGGUUCUGGUGUUGUGUUUGUGUAGGAGAUCUGAUAUGUUUUGUGUUUUUGAUCAGGAGAUUCUGAGAUGACAGUGGAUCAGACUGGAACAUCUGGAUCUACAUCCAGAUCCUACAAAGAUGCAGCGCUCGCUAAUCUACCAGCAGACUUCCACAAACAGCCCCCUGUUGACUCUGCUAUGUCGCAGCUGAUUGGUUCUCUCAAAAAUCUACUGGCCUGUCACCCUGAGGGACUGACCCUGAAUCAGACCCGCAGAUUCUGUCCACAACUCCUCAAUCAAGACGUGCUUAAAGACUACCCGUCUGUCCGCCACCUGCUGCAGUCCAUGCCCAAGGUCGUCCGGUUGGAGGGGAUUGGCGUCCAGACCCGCGUCCUCCUUGCUCUCCCUUAGAGAUGAUGGGAGAUGUUGACCCUUGAUGUUUACCAGCAGUUCCUUCCUCUGGUAGCUGCCUCUUUUUACUCAGGAGAUGGAGAUGCACUGACAGAGAAACUGGCACCCACUACACUUACCAAAUUCCAUUAUAGAUGAAGCCCAUUUGGUUCCUUUAAUAACUUUGUUUAGAUAUGUUAGUAUUUCUUAAAAACAAUUGAGUUUUUUUCAAGCUUUAAAAAGGAUCUUCACACAUGGUUAUACGCAAGUAUGGUUCCUGAAGGAACCUAAAGCUUAACGAUGAGGCUAUGAUGUAUUCCACUCAGGCUAUUUGCUGUAAUUUGGGGAAAUUACACAGAUUUUAUCUCAUACAAUCAGUCAGUCAGUCAAAUCACAGUAAUAAAAUCAGCAGACUUUCCCUGCUAUGACA
rnacentral:lncRNA from 1 species